rnacentral:lncRNA from 1 species
CUGGGUCAUCAUAGGUCUAUUUAAGGUCAAUUAGGACAAGGUCUGAACAAAGGAUUAAUAUAAAUCUGACAAAUCAGGUUAGAAAACAUAUUUAUUUUGUCAGAUUUCUUGAUUAGUAGCCUUUCUCAGUUCAGGCUGAAUGAUGGCAUUCAACGUGCAUACUUACUCAUUUUGACAGCUAACAAGAUAAAUGUGUCAGCAUGUGAUUUGCUAAAUACUUUCCCAU